rnacentral:rRNA from 1 species
UACGUGCGGGGCGAACGUUGUUCGGUGUCACUGGGCUUAAAGGGUGCGUAGGUGGUUGCGUAAGUAAGGUGUGAAAUCCCUCGGCUUACCCGGGGAAUUGCAUUUUAUACUGCGUGGCUUGAGGACUAAAGGGGAAAAGGGAACUCCAGGUGUAGCGGUGAAAUGCGCAGAUAUCUGGGGGAAGGCCGGCGGCGAAGGCGCUUUUCUGGUUAGUACCUGGCACUGAGGCACGAAAGCGUGGGGAGCAAACAGG